AAGCUGUUUGUGUUUCUACAGCUUUGUCUAGCGAUGAACCUGGAAAUGAAAAUGUACUUGAUGCUGGCUGUCUCUUGGAUGUUCUCAGGCUUUACCGGUGGCACAUUAGCUCAUUUGAAGAGCAGGAUGCUCAUGAACUGUUCCAUGUUUUGACAUCAUCGCUGGAGGAAGAACGGGAUUGUCAACCUAAAGUUGCUCACUUGUUUGACAUGCAGUGCCUAGAGAGUCUUCCUGAUCAAGGUGAAGAAACACUGACCUG